UAGGGAAUCUUCGGCAAUGGGGGCAACCCUGACCGAGCAACGCCGCGUGAGUGAAGAAGGUUUUCGUAUCGUAAAGCUCUGUUGUAAGAAAAGAACGUGUGUGAGAGUGGAAAGUUCACACAGUGACGGUAACUUACCAGAAAGGUACGGCUAACUACGUGCCAGCAGCCGCGGUAAUACGUAGGUCCCGAGCGUUGUCCGGAUUUAUUGGGCGUAAAGCGAGCGCAGGCGGUUUAAUAAGUCUGAAGUUAAAGGCAGUGGCUUAACCAUUGUUCGCUUUGGAAACUGUUCAGCUUGAGUGCAGAAGGGGAGAGUGGAGUUCCAUGUGUAGCGUUGAAAUGAGUAGAUGUAUGGAGGAACACCGGUGGUGAAAGCGGCUCUCUGGUCUGUAACUGACGCUGAGGCUCGAAAGCGGGGCGAGGAAACAGG
rnacentral:rRNA from 1 species